UCCCUCUUCUCUUCCCUUUAUUAGGUAACAAAAUCAGAGAUUUGUGUCUCCUCUUUGGUCUUCUCUCCCAAAGUCCACAAUCUGCUCUAAGAGAGCUCCAAGAGCUCCCUUUCUCUGUUAUUUCUUUGGCUCCAAGUAUGAAAGGACCUCAUGGCUUCAUAAUCCUCGAUCGAUUGAAGAAAACUUUAAGGAUUUCAGAUGAAGGCAUGCUGGGACAAUCAAGGCUCUCACCACUGAUAUUGAGAAAUUCUUUCAAUAAUGUGAUCCUCGUGAGUUCUGUUUCUUAUAUGGGAUUGGCGGUGUUUUGGUUUUAAAAAAGUAAUAGUGACUACGGUAUUAAUUUGGUUUAUGGAUGCUGUUAAAUUAUAUAUUUUGAGUAUUUGAGGGUUGCAAUUA